AGAGUUUGAUCAUGGCUCAGGAUGAACGCUAGCUACAGGCUUAACACAUGCAAGUCGGAGGGGAAACGAUAUUGGAAGUCUUGCUUCCGAUAGGCGUCGACCGGCGCACGGGUGAGUAACGCGUAUCCAACCUGCCCACCACGUUGGGGAUAACCUUGCGAAAGUAAGACUAAUACCCAAUAAUAUCUCUAGAAGACAUCUGAAAGAGAUUAAAGAUUUAUCGGUGAUGGAUGGGGAUGCGUCUGAUUAGCUUGUUGGCGGGGUAACGGCCCACCAAGGCGACGAUCAGUAGGGGUUCUGAGAGGAAGGUCCCCCACAUUGGAACUGAGACACGGUCCAAACUCCUACGGGAGGCAGCA
rnacentral:rRNA from 1 species